rnacentral:rRNA from 1 species
UACGAAGGGGGCUAGCGUUGCUCGGAAUCACUGGGCGUAAAGGGCGCGUAGGCGGAUCUUUAAGUCAGGGGUGAAAUCCUGGAGCUCAACUCCAGAACUGCCUUUGAUACUGGGAAGCUUGAGUCCGGGAGAGGUGAGUGGAACUCCGAGUGUAGAGGUGAAAUUCGUAGAUAUUCGGAAGAACACCAGUGGCGAAGGCGGCUCACUGGCCCGGUACUGACGCUGAGGUGCGAAAGCGUGGGGAGCAAACAGG